rnacentral:rRNA from 1 species
UGGGGAAUUGUUCACAAUGGGCGCAAGCCUGAUGACGCAAUGCCGCGUGGAGGAUGAAGGUCUUCGGAUUGUAAACUCCUGUUGCCAGGGACGAAUGGCUCCGACCUAAUACGUCGGAGAAUGACGGUACCUGGUGAGGAAGCCCCGGCUAACUCCGUGCCAGCAGCCGCGGUAAUACAGAGGGGGCAAGCGUUGUUCGGAAUUACUGGGCGUAAAGGGCGCGUAGGCGGCCCGCUAAGUCGAACGUGAAAUCCCCAGGCUCAACCUGGGAACUGCGUCCGAUACUGGCAGGCUUGAAUCCGGGAGAGGGAUGUGGAAUUCCAGGUGUAGCGGUGAAAUGCGUAGAUAUCUGGAGGAACACCGGUGGCGAAGGCGGCAUCCUGGACCGGUAUUGACGCUGAGGCGCGAAAGCUAGGGGAGCAAACGGGAUUAGAUACCCCGGUAGUCCUAGCCCUAAACGAUGAAUGCUUGGUGUGGCGGGUAUCGAUCCCUGCCGUGCCGAAGCUAACGCAUUAAGCAUUCCGCCUGGGGAGUACGGUCGCAAGGCUGA